rnacentral:rRNA from 1 species
ACUCCUACGGGAGGCAGCAGUGGGGAAUAUUGCACAAUGGGGGAAACCCUGAUGCAGUCAUGCCGCGUGUGUGAAGAAGGCCUUCGGGUUGUAAAGCACUUUCAGUAGGGAGGAAGGUAGUGUAGUUAACACCUGCACUAUUUGACGUUACCUACAGAAGAAGCACCGGCUAACUCCGUGCCAGCAGCCGCGGUAAUACGGAGGGUGCGAGCGUUAAUCGGAAUUACUGGGCGUAAAGCGCAUGCAGGCGGCCUGUUAAGUCAGAUGUGAAAGCCCGGGGCUUAACCUCGGAAUUGCAUUUGAAACGUGGUAGGCUAGAGUCUUGUAGAGGGGGGUAGAAUUUCAGGUGUAGCGGUGAAAUGCGUAGAGAUNUGAAGGAAUACCAGUGGCGAAGGCGGCCCCCCUGGACAAAGACUGACGCUCAGAUGCGAAAGCGUGGGGAGCAAACAGGAUUAGAUACCCUGGGUAGACAU